rnacentral:rRNA from 1 species
CAAUAGCGUAUAUUAAAGUUGUUGCAGUUAAAAAGCUCGUAGUUGGAUUUGUGGCGUACGGUGUGUUCCGGGCACUUGUUGUCUGAGUAACCUGCUGUUGCCAUCCUUGGGUGGAACCUGUGUGGCAUUAGGUUGUCGUGCGGGGGAUGCCCAUCAUUUACUGUGAAAAAAUUAGAGUGUUCAAAGCAGGCUUAUGCCGUUGAAUAUAUUAGCAUGGAAUAAUGAGAUAGGACUUUUUUGCUAUUUUGUUGGUUUGCGCAAAGAGGUAAUGAUUAAUAGGGACAGUUGGGGGUAUUCGUAUUCCAUUGUCAGAGGUGAAAUUCUUGGAUUUUUGGAAGACGAACUACUGCGAAAGCAUUUACCAAGGAUGUUUUCAUUAA